GUUUCAGGGUCGGGUGAAAUUCCCAAUCGGCGGUAUACCCCGCGAGCAAUUAUGCAUGAUCUAGUGAAAUUCUAGAGGCGACAGUAAAGUCUGGAUGAAAGAAA
rnacentral:ncRNA from 1 species